rnacentral:rRNA from 1 species
GAUGAACGCUAGCGGCAGGCUUAAUAUAUGCAAGUCGAACGGCAGCACGGGUAGCAAUAUCUGGUGGCGAGUGGCGCACGGGUGCGUAACGCGUAUGCAAUCUACCUUCAACUGGUGAAUAGCCCGAAGAAAUUCGGAUUAACACACCAUAGUAUAUUAGAGUGGCAUCACUUUAAUAUUAAAACUCCGGUGGUUGAAGAUGAGCAUGCGUGACAUUAGCUAGUUGGUGAGGUAAUGGCUCACCAAGGCUACGAUGUCUAGGGGAUCUGAGAGGAUUAACCCCCCACACUGGUACUGAGACACGGGACCAGACUCCUACGGGAGGCAGCAGUAAGGAAUAUUGGACAAUGGUCGCAAGACUGAUCCAGCCAUGCCGCGUGAAGGAU